rnacentral:sRNA from 1 species
AAGAUGACUGCUGAUCAGCUUCAGGCUGGCUGAUAAAUAAUUCGUCUUUCGCGGUCUUUGACCACGGAUGUACUGGCACUGAUAGCAAAGAUGAAUUUGAGAAAGGUCGGGUUUUCCCGGCCUUUUAUUUU